CCCUGUCUCUGCUAAAAUGACAAAACGUAGUUGGGCGUGGUGGGGUUUGCCUGUAGUCCCAGCUACUCCGGAGGCUGAGGCAGGAGAAUUGCCUGAACCUGGGAGGCAGAGGUUGCAGUGAGCCGAGAUCAUGACACUGCACUCGAGCCUGGCGUCAGGUGACAGAGGUGACUCUGUUUCAUAAAAGAAAAAAAAAAAAAAAUUAACGUUAGGUAUUGUGUGGAUUUCUUUUUUCCCCCGAGAACCAGAGGAGGAAAACAAAGUUUCAUUCCUGAUAGCAAAAAACACACGGUUGUAAUGAGUUAAGAACUUAUCCAUAGACUUACCUUUGAGACGUCUUCGGUUUUAAAAUCGUUUCCCUCAUAUCCUUAUGUUGUUUUGGUAUGUUUCACUUUAUUACCCCUUGCAUGGCAGGAAAGAGUCCCCAGCGACAGAAGACAAGGACGGUCCGUGGUGGAAAAGAAGCCCAAAGCUGAAGACUGAAGAAGCGAACUUGCAACUUCCAAGGGAACUGGAGACAAUGGAAAUCUCAUCAUAGUUUCGGUCUUGUUAUUCAGGCUGGAGUGCAGUGACUGAUCUCAACUCACCGCAAUUUCCGCCUCCUGGGUUCAGGCAAUUCUCUUGCCUCAGCCUCCUGAGUAACUGGGAUUACAAUCACACGAAACCAUGCCCAGCGAAUUUGUUUUGUAUUUUUGUAGAGAUGGGGUUUCACCAUGAUGACCAGAAUGGUCUGGAUCUCUUGACCUCGUGAUCCAGCCCCCUUGGCUUCCCAAAUGCUGGGAUUGCAGGCGUGAGCCACGAGACAAUCUCCAUUUUUAACACAGAGAAUUAUUUCUUUCUUGACAAGAGAAGUUGACAGCGGUCUCUGUCUAUAGGCCAUAAAAGGAAUUUGAUCUAAAGACUUUGUACUGAGAUGAUUAUGUUUUCUGUCUACAAAAUAAAGUGACUCAACUCUGUCAGCAUAGCAUGCUUGGGUUUUUUGGAGGGGUCCUCAGCGGCUUGCCUGGAUAUGGUUCUCAGGCUUGGAUUCGCUCCAGAAAGCUUCUGAGUCGCUCUCUCCACCUGACCUGUCCCCAGGAGAAGCCAGUUCCUGGUUUUGCCACCUCUGCUGUAUGCUGGGCUUGCCGCUUUGUCUUUCUUCCUGCCUUUUCUAGACAAGAGUGCUGAGAAGCAGGAGUUCCUUGGCUUGGAGACCAAGGCAGGGCUACCUGGUGUGUGGCCCAGUGAUUGAAGUGGUGCAGUGAAUUCAUGGAGGCCGGGAACGUUCUGCUGAAAACCUCCCCGAGGGUCUCAGUAUGUUUGUGGGGUCCAGCGACUCGUGCCACACCUCACCAGACUGAAUCUCCAGCCCCAGUGGACCGGAUUCCUGCCUACACUGUCCGAUCCCGAAUCCAAUGGGAAGAGCAGUCCCAAGUGCCCACCUUAUGGUCGGUCUGAAGCGCCCUUCUCCUCCACUGGAUCCGAACAGGAUGGUCGGCUCAAAGAGGUCCUGAGGUCAGGACUGUCGGGCUUCUGCGCUGCUCGUGCCAGGCAGCGUCCUUCCCCGGGGCCACCUCAGGUACUGCUUCCAGCAUUUUCCUCUGCGGCUGGCGACAAGAGCGCCGGCAUUGGGGCUGGCCAGCUGGGCACGCCAAUGCGCUUGCGCCAUUGGUGCAUCACAACCACUAGUGGGGGCUGGGCUUUUGUCACAGUGACUGUCCCGGUAGCCUGGGGAAGGGUGUCGGCAUCUUGGCAACCAGGCGCCCUCUGUGGCGGUGAGUUGGGCGACGGGGGCCCUUCUCCCGCGGAUCAUCACCAAGGUCCCGCGAUUUCAAGAGUCGGACAAGGCGGAACCAGGCUGAGAAAAGGUUCAUCGGAGCUCGAAGAUUGCACCCCUUAUUUCCUUAGGAUUCCCCUGUUGCAUUAGGCCUCCCUAGGCGGUGAGGGGGUGCAUCUAAUUUAUUGUGGUCUUCUGUGGGGUGUAUAAAUAUUUGCCUGCCUUUUUUUCUGGGGCUGCUCUCUCUCUAGACUUGCCUCCUGAUAACAGAGCCUCUCAGCCUCAGGAGCUUCUUGGCUCUGUGUUUCUGUCGCGUGUUUGGUGUCUUCGUGUGUGUGGUGUUCUGUGUCUGUGUGUUUGAGUUUGUGUGUGUGUGUGUGGUGUCUGGUCAAAUGGCUGUGGCUCAUGUACUGGAGGUCUUUUUCUCUCAUGUCUGCCUACCUUAUGGGGCGCCUUACUCUGUUGAUGCGCUUGGGCUGCAGGGCUGUGUGGUCUUGUUUUGCUUGUUCCUAUAGCCUCGGUGAAGUCAAGGUCUGGCUCAGUCCUUCAGGCGUCCAAAGCAUAUUUCCAUCUUGAGAGGUCCGUUUUUAGAGAGAAGACGAGCACACCACCCUCUGGAACAGACAAGUCCAGGGGCCCAUUUUCCUGUGGCACAGCCAAGGCCAGACUCUAGCCAUGGUGUCCUCCCCACCCCUCGAGCCCACUUCUAAUUUCGUCACCAGAGGAGCAGGUUGUUCAGGAGGUGAUCGGGCACUCCUUCAUCCGUCAUCCUCUUCGGGGAAAGGGGAUGCAGAAAUAGGGUUAGAUGGGGGUGAGGAUACAAUCUGGUUAGGUGUGGAGCGAGUCCGGCAUCUUCACCUGCAGGAGAUGUUCAGACACAUGUCAGAGAUGGUGCUUCUCCCCUUCUUCACUACACAGCCUGUCCACACCAUGGCCCAUUGCUGGCAAAAGAAGACACCAACGUUAGGAGAAUAUUUGGAUAGCAAACUGGUGUUUCUGGCCAGCUCUCAGAUUCGGCCCUCAUUCCUGGAGCCACGUGGGAGUAUGGAUGGAUUGAUCGUGAUCCUGCCUGGGCUGUGGCCUCUUAUUUUCCCUCCCUCUUUUCCUGCCUUCCAUGUUUUUCCGUGGUCUGACUCAAUGUCUUCCACAGCAAACGUUUUCCAAUUCGUCCAGGAACACCGUGGGUAUCCAUGUCAUGAGUGUUUCCUUCUAAACACUCAUUUCUUAACAACUGGGUAGCUGUGAUGAUGACUGCAGGCCCUGCCAAUAGUUUGACUGCAGCUGUAUCAGAGUCUCAAUUACAACCACUCAGCUAUAGCAGCUCCCAUAUUCCUGACCCUCAGAAAGUCUUUGAGAUACUAAAUGUUUGUUGUUUUAAGCUUCUGAAUGUUUGGUAAUUAGCUAUGCAGCGGUAGAUAACUUCGAUGCUGUGUUAAAAUGCUGCAAUUCAAAUUUCUGAAUUUUUUUUUCUUUUUUUGAGACGGAGUUUCACUCUUGUUGCCCAGGCUGGAGUGCAAUGGCAUGAUCUCCGCUCGCUGCAAUCUCCGCCUCUGCUCUCCUCCCUCAGCCUUCUGAGUAGCUGGGAAUACAAACAUGUGCCACCAUGCUCCACUAGUUUAGUAUUUUUAGAAGCGUUCAGGUUUCUCCAUGUUGGUCAGGCUGGUCUCAAACUGCCGACCUCAGGUAAUCUGCCUGCCUUGGCCUUCCAGUGUGCUGGGGUUACAGGCGUGAGCCACUGAGCCAGGCCACGUUUCUGAAUUCUCUAAAUAAAGUUCCUAAACUUGUGAGAUUAUUUUGUCAGAUAAGAGGAGUUAUUACCAGUUUCCUCUUCUUCCUUGUGAUGGAAAAAUUAAAAGGCCUAUGGCUCUGCUAGACUUUAAAUUGAAAAAUGAAGUCAAGGGUCUUUCUUUCAUUUGGUUUAAUGUAAGUGGUUUAUAUGACAACAGUUUGAAGUGAUUGUAGUAAUUAAUUGAAAAUCACCAUUUAGUCCAGGUGUGGUGCCUCACGCCUGUAAUUCCAACACUUUGGAAAAUGGAGGUGGGAGGAUCACCGUAUGUCAGGAGUUGAAGACAAACCCAGCCAAAAUGUUGGAACAGGAAGUCGGCUCAAGGAGGCACUGAGAUGAGGAUUGUCAGGGUCCUGCGCUGCUUGUCACACGCAGCCUCCUUCCCUCGCCACCUCUGGUACUACCUCCACCAUUUUCCUGCGUGGCUGCAGCCAGAAAAGACGGAUAUUGUGGUUCGCCAACUGGGCACGCGGAUGCGCAUGCGCAUGCGCCAGGCGCGCGUCACCAGGCGCAGGCGCAGAGCUCAGGCUCCGGUCACAGUGACCGCCCCCAUUGCCGGGCAACGGGUGUCAGCGGCUUGGCGGUGCAGGAACCCUCUGUGGCAAUGCUUCAGCGUUGGGCUGUGGCUCCCACUCGCCGUGGAAUCGUCGCCUGUUGCGAUCCUAGGAGUCAGGCAGGGCCCAUCCAAGCCGGAGAAAUGUCAAGCGGAGAUUUAAGGUUGCACCGCGUGAACCCUAAGGAUCCCCACGAUGCCUCAGGCCUGCCUAGGUGAUGUGGAGGUGCGUCUCCUUGAAAGCGUCUCCUUCCCCCUGGGAUUUCGAGGUACCGCCUGUCUGUGUGCCGCAGGGCUGCUCUCACUCCGAGGGUCUUCCUGGCAGAGAGCAGAACCACACAGCCUCAGGAGCUUUCUAGCUGUGUCUGUGAGUGUUGGAUUUCUCCGUGUGUGUGUGUGUGUGUGUGUGUGUGUGUGUGUGUGUGUCGUGUGGUGAAACGAAUAUGGCCAGUGUUUGGGUAAGACCUCAAUAGCUCAUGUGACAAAAGCAAAAAUAGACAUUAUAUGAAGCUGAAAAGGUUCUGCACAGCAAAGAAAACAAUCAGUAGAGUGAAGAUCACAACCUACAGUAUGGGUAAAGAUAUUUGUACACUAGCCAUUCAAUAAGGGAUUAAUAAGCAAAAUAUACAAGGAAUGUAAACAAUAGCAAAAACAUCUGAUUUUAAGAUGGGCAAGGGAUUUGAGAAGACAUUUCUCAAAAGAAACAUGCAAUGGCCAAUGGGUAGAUGAAAAAACACUCAGCAUCCCUAAUCAUCAGGGAAAUGCAAAUCAAAAUCACAAUGAGAUACUGUCUCACCUCAGUUAUAAUGUCUACUAUCAAAAGAAAAAAGCUAACAAGUAUUGGUGAGGAUGUGAAGAAAUCCUUAUACACGGUUGGUGGAAAUGUAAAUUAGUAAAGCUAUUAUAGAAAACUGGAGAUUUCUCAAAAAAAAAAAAAAAUAGAACUACUAUAUGAUCCAGCAAUCUCAUCUCACUGCUAGAUAUACAUCCAAAGGUGAAAAAGGGAAAUCAUAUAUCAUAGAGAUAUUUUCACUCAAGAGGGUUAACUGACUCAGAGUUCUGCAUGGCUGGUAAGGUCAGGAAACUUAAAUCAUGAUGGAAGGUGAAGGGGAAGGCAUCUUGUGGCAGUAGAGAGAGAAAGAGAGAGAGCAGGGAAAACUACCGCUUUUAAACCACCAGGUCUCAUGAGAACUCUCUCACUAUCAUGAGAACAGCAUGUGGAAAACCACCCCCAUGAUCCAGUCAUGGCUCAAGCCAUCCUUCCACCUCAGCCUUCAGAGUAGUUGGGGCCAAGGCUGCAGGCACAUGCCACCAUGCCAGGCUUAAUUUUGUAUUUUAUAUAGAGAUAGGGUUUCACCAUGUUGCCCAGGCUGGUCUUCAACUCCUGAGCUUAAGCAAUCCCACCAUGGCCUCCCAGAGGGCUGGGACUCCAGAUGUGAGUCACCACACCUGACCAGAUUAGUAGUUUCUUCGCUACGAUACCAAAGACAUAAGCAAGAAAAGAAAAAAAUAGAUUAAUUUGACUAUAUCAAAAUUAAUAGGGUUUUUAAAUUUUUUAUUUUAUUUUUUUGCUUCAAAGGGCACUAUCAAGAAAGUGAAAGGACAAUCUACAAAAUGGAAGAAAAUGUUUACAAAUAGGGUAUCUGAUAAGGUCCUUGUAUUCAGAAUAUACAAAGACCUCUUACAGCUCAACAAUAAAAAGGCAAUUCAGUUUAAAAUUGGAAGUGGAUUGGAAUAGUCAUUUUAUCAAAGAAGGUAUACAAUGGCCAAUACACACCAGAAAGGAUGCGCAACAUCAUCGGUCAUCAGGGAAAUGCAAAUAAAACCACUUUACAAGUAGUACCACCUCACACCCACCAGCUUCUGUAUCCACUUGCCAGUCUAUAACCUAUGUUGAGUAACUGGCUGCCUGGUCAAUACAGCUCACCUCAGAGCUGUCCUUGAGCAUAGGGUUUAUACACAGUGAUAGGAUAUUCCACAUCCUAGAGACCUAUGACAUAGGCAGAGUUUUUCUUUUCUUAACUACUUUAAGACAUUGGGUGGCCGGGCACAGUGGCUCACGCGUAUAAUCCCAGCACUAUGGGAGACAGAGGUGCGUGGAUCACAAGGUCAGGAGUUUGAGACCUUCCUCACCAACAUGGAGAAAUCCCGUCUCUACUAAAAAUACAAAAAUUAGCUGGGUAUAGUGGCACACACCUGUAAGCCCAGCUACUCAGGAAGCUGAUACAGGUGAAUUACUUGAACCUAGGAGGCAGAGGGGUUACAGUGAGCUGAGAUCACCCCACUGCACUCCAGCCUGGGCAACAGAGUGAGACUCUGUCUCAAUAAAUAGAUAAAUAAAAAGACAAUGGGCUGUAGCUCAGAUUACACAAGUAUCUCAAUCUACAGGGUAUCAAUGAGGCAAUAGGGAAGAGAAGAAAGGCUUUAAUUUUUAUAUACUGCUUCACCUUCCACUUCACUCUGUUGGAGUGUGGUGGGCAAGCCCUCUCCCUCACUCUGCCAUCCUGUUUCUUGUUGCUAUUUUCCAUCAUUCGGGUAUGGGUAUCUGAGGUCUCUCUUUAACAAUGGUAGACAAUUUCCUUGAUAUUCUUAAUUGCUUAUUUUUCCAUUGACUUAUAAAUGAGAAAAAUAUACUAAAAAUGUGAGGCUAUCAACAAAUUCUGCUGGAUAUUGAUUAUAAUCACAGUGACUAAGUUGUUAGGCAUACAUUUUAAAAUCCAGAGUUACGGUGUGUUUUUCUUCCUGCAUGCUGCCUAUCUGAAGUAAAUUUCAGUCUCCACUGCCUGCUUCUACUGUAAUGGCCUCAUGUCAUUUCUCUUCCCCAGUUUCCUUACACCCUCCGGUAUAUUUUAUAAAAUAAUAACAUUUACUACAUACUGCUGUAAAUUUCACAUGUAUUUUGACAAAUGCAUGUAACUUCUAAAACAAAGAAUUAUCUCCCUUUAACAUCUCAGAAAAUUGAAUUAAGAAAAGGUAGUAAUUGGCCCACAAAAAUUCUGGACACUUAGACAGUACACAAAGAGAAAUUAUCAAAUCAUGAUGCAUAUACAAUGGGGUGCUGGAAAGUUAAGAAUGAUGAUGGAAAAAUUAGGCUUAUAAAACCAUUAGCAUAAAGCAUCAUUCUCAAACCAGUCAAACAUGGAAAGAUAGUCUUAAAAUUGUUAACAAUGGUUGCCUCUGGAAAUAGACCAUAUGUAAGCUUCUUUCUGAUGAAAAUGGUGAAUACAGGAACACCAGUGGCACACCUGAGGACUUGUAAGGACAUAACUGACAGUAUGGGUGCAGUGGCUCAAGCCUGUAAUCCCAGCAUUUUCAGAGGCCAAGGCAGGCAGAUCACCUGAGGUCAGGAGGACCAGCCUGGCCAACAUGGUGAAACCUGGUCUCUACUAAAAAUUAGCUGGGCAAGGUGGCACGUGUUUGCAUUCCCACCUAUUUGGGAGGCUGAGGCAGGAGAAUCGCUCAAACCCAGGAGAUGGAGGUUGCAGUGAGCCAAGAUCAUGCCACUGCACUACAGCCUGGGUGACAGAGUGAGACUCCAUCUCAAAAAAGAAAAAAAGACAGAAGAGAACUGACAGAAGCAAACAUCUUUUAAAUGUUCUUUAUUUUUUUACAUUAUGAACUAGUUUAAAUAUACAAAAAGA